UGGUGGUUGCCUUGUCAGGUUGAUUCCGGUAACGAACGAGACCUCAGCCUGCUAAAUAGUCCUAAUCGCUUCUCGCGGUUAGCUGACUUCUUAGAGGGACUAUUGGCGUUUAGUCAAUGGAAGUAUGAGGCAAUAACA
rnacentral:rRNA from 1 species